GCGCACCAGGCGAGAAUCUUCCACAAUGGACGAAAGUCUGAUGGAGCGACGCCGCGUGGUUGAUGAAGUCCUUCGGGACGUAAAGACCUUUUAUGAGGGAGGAAGUAAUUGACGUUACCUCAUGAAUAAGGGGCUCCUAACUCUGUGCCAGCAGGAGCGGUAAUACAGAGGCCCCAAGCAUUAUCCGGAAUCACUGGGCGUAAAGGGUGUGUAGGCGGUUGUAUUAGUCCUUCGUGAAAGCUCUCGGGCCUAACCCGGGAAACGCGGUGGAAACGGUACAACUACGAGGAUGCGAGAGGUAUAUGGAACUCAUGGUGUAGGGGUGGAAAUACCGUUCGAUAUCAUGGGGGAACACCCAAAUAGCGAAGGCAAUAUACUGGCGCACUCCUGACGCUGAGACACGAAAGACGUGGGAAUCGAACGGGAUUAGAUACCCCGGUAGU
rnacentral:rRNA from 1 species